rnacentral:rRNA from 1 species
CAAUGGGAAGUACAACGAGUCGCAAACCGGCGACGGUAAGCUAAUCUCUUAAAACUUCUCUCAGUUCGGACUGGAGUCUGCAACUCGACUCCACGAAGGCGGAAUCGCUAGUAAUCGCGAAUCAGCAUGUCGCGGUGAAUACGUUCCCGGGUCUUGUACACACCGCCCGUCAAAUCAUGGGAGUCGGAAGUACCCAAAGUCGCUUGGCUAACUUUUAGAGGCCGGUGCCUAAGGUAAAAUCGAUGACUGGGAUUAAGUCGUAACAAGGUAGCCGUAGGAGAACCUGCGGCUGGAUCACCUCCUUUCUAAGGA